CUGAGGGAUAUUGCACAAUGGGCGAAAGCCUGAUGCAGCGACGCCGCGUGGGCGACGAAGUCUUUCGGGAUGUAAAGCCCUUUUCUGGGGGACGAAACUGACGGUACCCCAGGAAGAAGCCCCGGCUAACUACGUGCCAGCAGCCGCGGUAAUACGUAGGGGGCGAGCGUUGUCCGGAUUUACUGGGCGUAAAGCGCGUGUAGGCGGUCGGCCAAGUCCGGGGUGAAAGGCGGGGGCUCAACCCCCGAGCUGCGCUGGAAACUGGUCGACUCGAGUGUCGGAGAGGGGAGUGGAAUUCUCGGUGUAGCGGUGAAAUGCGUAGAGAUCGAGAGGAACACCCGUGGCGAAGGCGGCUCCCUGGCCGAACACUGACGCUGAGACGCGAAAGCGCGGGGAGCGAACGG
rnacentral:rRNA from 1 species